GGGAGGACCAGGCCGCGGUGAAGGCAGGUCAUGCGCUCCUCACGCUCCACGAACGGAACCUGCGCACGGAGGCGGUAGCGCGGGGUGGCAGCCGGCAAUGAGGCGGCCGCGCUACGUGACGAGCUACGGGUCCCCCUUUGUGAUGUUUUGGCAUCGCUCCUUCAUCGCACAUCCUCAGGUACGUCAAUUCACUUCCUUCCCUUCCCUUCGUCCCUCGGUCCCACGCUCGUGGCGCUGAAGUGGUGGCAACAGGCGAUGGCGGUGGUGUCGCUGAUGGCGGCGAGGACAGCAUGUGGCAGCUCCCGAAGCAUGAACACGACCGCACCUCGGGCCUGCCGUCUGCCAAGAUAUGGCUCUGGCCGAUUGACAAUGGAGGUUUGGGAUCCUUCCUCUCAGCACCCACUCCUGGAAGAAUCAGCGGUGCGCCACGCCGAUUGAACCCCGUCGAGAUCACUCGCCAAGAUUGCUAUUCUGAAGUUUAUUGUAAAGAAAGUGAAGAGUGAGACAGGAUCCGUUUAUUUUCAACCGGUUUAUUUUCAACCGGUUUAUUUCCAUCAAAUUACCCCCACCCCCACACCCACCCACCGAAACGCGCCCAGCGAACCGGGGAG